UCCUCUCCGCAUUAAAGCACUCG
rnacentral:misc_RNA from 1 species